rnacentral:rRNA from 1 species
AGAGUUGAUCUGGCUCAGGAUGAACGCUAGCUACAGGCUUAACACAUGCAAGUCGAGGGGCAGCAUGAUCGAAGCUUGCUUGAUGAUGGCGACCGGCGCACGGGUGAGUAACGCGUAUCCAACCUUCCCUGUAGUAGAGGAUAGCCCGGCGAAAGUCGGAUUAAUACUCUAUGUUGUAUUUAGAAGACAUCUGAAGAAUACCAAAGGUUUACCGCUAUAGGAUGGGGAUGCGUCUGAUUAGGUUGUUGGCGGGGUAACGGCCCACCAAGCCCACGAUCAGUAGGGGUUCUGAGAGGAAGGUCCCCCACAUUGGAACUGAGACACGGUCCAAACUCCUACGGGAGGCAGCAGUGAGGAAUAUUGGUCAAUGGACGUAAGUCUGAACCAGCCAAGUAGCGUGCAAGGAUGACGGCCCUAUGGGUUGUAAACUGCUUUUAUAUAGGGAUAAAGUGCACUACGUGUAGUGUUUUGUAGGUACUAUAUGAAUAAGGACCGGCUAGUUCCGUGCCAGCAGCAGC